ensembl:lncRNA
GACAGGGCCUCAUUGUUUACAUGAGGGCACCAGGGUUGAACUGACGUGUGCAUUCAUCUUUAAUGUUCACGCUCAAAAUAUGAACCUGCGAGGACUGUGUUGACAGACACACACCUACCUUCUCACUCACUCGCUUUCUUUCUUUUUUUCCUCUCUUUUGCUUCACACUUGCAUUGCCGUGCUGCCGGGUUGGACUGAGGGAUUACAGGCGUCUGCUGGUUGGAAGAAGUGGAAAGACAUGAUAAAUAGAGAAAGACAGGUCUGAACAAGUCAACUCAGCGGAGAAGCACAGAUGCUGCUGCCCUCUAGUCUAGUUUGGUGAAAAUGAGGAAACAAACGGCAGAUGAGAAUCUCAUUCUGUUU